UUCUGGCCUCUCUUUGACAUGGGGGCGGGGUUAGACAUGUCACUCAUCUAACCCCGCCUCCAUGUCAAAGAGAGGCCAGAAUG